rnacentral:misc_RNA from 1 species
GAUGAAGAACGUAGCGAAAUACGAUACGUAAUGUGAAUUGCAGAAUUCAGUGAAUCAUCGAGUCUUUGAACGCACAUUGCGCCCCCUGGUAUUCCGGGGGGCAUGCCUGUCCGAGCGUCAUUGCUGCCCUCAAGCCCGGCUUGUGUGUUGGGUCUCGUCCCCCUUCCCGGGGGGACGGGCCCGAAAGGCAGCGGCGGCACCGCGUCCGGUCCUCGAGCGUAUGGGGCUUUGUCACCCGCUCUGUAGGCCCGGCCGGCGCUUGCCGAUCAACCAAAACUUUUUUCCAGGUUGACCUCGGAUCAGGUAGGGAUACCCGCUGAACUUAAGCAUAUCAAUAAGCGGAGGA